rnacentral:rRNA from 1 species
ACGAACGCUGGCGGCGUGCCUAAUACAUGCAAGUAGAACGCUGAAGAGAGGAGCUUGCUCUUCUUGGAUGAGUUGCGAACGGGUGAGUAACGCGUAGGUAACCUGCCUUGUAGCGGGGGAUAACUAUUGGAAACGAUAGCUAAUACCGCAUAACAAUGGAUGACACAUGUCAUUUAUUUGAAAGGGGCAAUUGCUCCACUACAAGAUGGACCUGCGUUGUAUUAGCUAGUAGGUGAGGUAACGGCUCACCUAGGCGACGAUACAUAGCCGACCUGAGAGGGUGAUCGGCCACACUGGGACUGAGACACGGCCCAGACUCCUACGGGAGGCAGCAGUAGGGAAUCUUCGGCAAUGGGGGCAACCCUGACCGAGCAACGCCGCGUGAGUGAAGAAGGUUUUCGGAUCGUAAAGCUCUGUUGUAAGUCAAGAACGAGUGUGAGAGUGGAAAGUUCACACUGUGACGGUAGCUUACCAGAAAGGGACGGCUAACUACGUGCCAGCAGCCGCGGUAAUACGUAGGUCCCGAGCGUUGUCCGGAUUUAUUGGGCGUAAAGCGAGCGCAGGCGGUUUGAUAAGUCUGAAGUUAAAGGCUGUGGCUCAACCAUAGUUCGCUUUGGAAACUGUCAAACUUGAGUGCAGAAGGGGAGAGUGGAAUUCCAUGUGUAGCGGUGAAAUGCGUAGAUAUAUGGAGGAACACCGGUGGCGAAAGCGGCUCUCUGGUCUGUAACUGACGCUGAGGCUCGAAAGCGUGGGGAGCGAACAGGAUUAGAUACCCUGGUAGUCCACGCCGUAAACGAUGAGUGCUAGGUGUUGGAUCCUUUCCGGGAUUCAGUGCCGCAGCUAACGCAUUAAGCACUCCGCCUGGGGAGUACGACCGCAAGGUUGAAACUCAAAGGAAUUGACGGGGGCCCGCACAAGCGGUGGAGCAUGUGGUUUAAUUCGAAGCAACGCGAAGAACCUUACCAAGUCUUGACAUCCCUUGACGAUGCUGGAAACAGUAUUUCUCUUCGGAGCAAGGAGACAGGUGGUGCAUGGUUGUCGUCAGCUCGUGUCGUGAGAUGUUGGGUUAAGUCCCGCAACGAGCGCAACCCCUAUUGUUAGUUGCCAUCAUUCAGUUGGGCACUCUAGCGAGACUGCCGGUAAUAAACCGGAGGAAGGUGGGGAUGACGUCAAAUCAUCAUGCCCCUUAUGACCUGGGCUACACACGUGCUACAAUGGUUGGUACAACGAGUUGCGAGUCGGUGACGGCAAGCUAAUCUCUUAAAGCCAAUCUCAGUUCGGAUUGUAGGCUGCAACUCGCCUACAUGAAGUCGGAAUCGCUAGUAAUCGCGGAUCAGCACGCCGCGGUGAAUACGUUCCCGGGCCUUGUACACACCGCCCGUCACACCACGAGAGUUUGUAACACCCGAAGUCGGUGAGGUAACCUUUUGGAGCCAGCCGCCUAAGGUGGGAUAGAUGAUUGGGGUG